rnacentral:lncRNA from 1 species
GACCCCAUAGGGACCCAUACGGACCUAUAGUGACACACUGACCCCAUAGAGACCCCAUAGGGAUGCACUGACCCCAUAGGGACUGACAGGGACACACUGACCCCAUAAGGAUGACUGACCCCAUAGGAACCCCAUAGAGACCCCAUAGGGACACACCGACCCCAUAGGGACCCUAUAAGGGGGGGCACAGCGGGCGGAGCUGCGCCGGCAUCGAGGCGGAGAGCCUGGCCCUAUUUCAUGCAGGGUCGGUGGCGGACGAUUUGGGGUCGGGGUCCCUGGAGGUGCCUAUAGGGCCGCCCCCCCCCCACCUGCACCCCACAGUGCUGCCGUGGGACGACCCCAAACCCCCCCACCCCAAAACGAGCCGGAUGUUGGGGGCGGCCGUCAGGGGGGUCCU